AGCAUAUCAAUAAGCGGAGGAAAAGAAACCAACCGGGGAUUGCCUCAGUAACGGCGAGUGAAGCGGCAAGAGCUCAAAUUUGAAAUCUGGCCCCUCCGGGGUCCGAGUUGUAAUUUGCAGAGGAUGCUUCGGGUGCGGUCCCCAUCUAAGUGCCCUGGAACGGGCCGUCAUAGAGGGUGAGAAUCCCGUCUGGGAUGGGCGGCCGCGCCCGUGUGAAGCUCCUUCGACGAGUCGAGUUGUUUGGGAAUGCAGCUCUAAGUGGGUGGUAAAUUUCAUCUAAAGCUAAAUACUGGCCGGAGACCGAUAGCGCACAAGUAGAGUGAUCGAAAGAUGAAAAGCACUUUGAAAAGAGAGUUAAACAGCACGUGAAAUUGUUGAAAGGGAAGCGUUGUCCACCAGACUCGCCCGGGGGGGUUCAGCCGGCACUUGUGCCGGUGUACUCCUCCCCGGGCGGGCCAGCAUCGGUUUGGGCGGUCGGUGAAAGGCCCCGGGAAUGUACCACCCUUCGGGGUGCCUUAUAGCCCGGGGUGUCAUGCGGCCAGCCUGGACCGAGGCCCGCGCUUCGGCGAGGAUGCUGGCGUAAUGGUGGUCAACGGCCCGUCUUGAAACACGGACCAAGGAGUCUAACAUCUAUGCGAGUGUUCGGGUGUCAAACCCGUCCGCGCAGUGAAAGCGAACGGAGGUGGGAGCCCCCCGGGGUGCACCAUCGACCGAUCCUGAAGUCUUCGGAUGGAUUUGAGUAAGAGCAUAGCUGUUGGGACCCGAAAGAUGGUGAACUAUGCCUGAAUAGGGCGAAGCCAGAGGAAACUCUGGUGGAGGCUCGCAGCGGUUCUGACGUGCAAAUCGAUCGUCAAAUUUGGGUAUAGGGGGCGAAAAGACUAAUCGAAACCAUCUUGGUAGCUGGUUCCUGC
rnacentral:rRNA from 1 species